UCGUAGUGUCGCGUGAGUUAAUGCUGUUAUCGCGAGAGGUCGCCAUUGGAGCCUCUGCGUUGAACAGCUGCAGGUCCAGUUGUAUUCAGUCCGUAUUUUAUAUUUUAAACUGCUUACUACACACCUAUGCUUACACCCAAACGGACUAAACCAAGUGGAGAUGCUUUGGACGCCUGCAGCCGGGCGCAGCUAAAUGACACGUAAUGUAUUGUGCGUCUUCAAUGCUUUUCAAUAUGUUAUAUAUUUAUUGCCUUCACAAUGAGCAUGAAUCUAACAUUAAAUGAUAUGAUUAAUAUGCCCCUCAUUCCAAAGAAAUAAUAUACACACGUCAAGCUCAUUAUGGAGUUGAAACAACAAAUUACUAAACUGUAAACAGUUAAUAUAAGAGAAAAAAAUAUUGUAAUCAAGAUAAAUGUUUUCAAAACGUGUGAUUAACUAGUCAAUUGUCUAUAAUCUGUUGACAGCCAUAAUCGUAUUCUGAUAAUACACGUUGGUGCUCAAAUAUUUUCAGAUGGCCCGUGCAAAGUCAUGCCACCAGUCUGAGGACAUCACUGGGAAUGGCACAUGGGACACGUGGCUUUCAACUCCAGCGAGGUGGGAAAGCAUUUCUUUAUGUAUAUUUUGUUCUGUCUGCAUAAUUGUAAAAGACUUCUUCCCGCAUUCGUACAACAGCAUUCCAUAUCGUGUGACUGUCGAUGGAUGUAAUAAUUUGGCCUUCUUUUUUUCUUCCACCACACGGCACGGGUGGGCUUCACCGCGGGCAAUCGUGGCAAAGACCCAAGUCGACUGGACCACAGCGGAAAAUGAUCCUUCCAGAGAAGAAGUUAUUUACUUCUACAACGAAUGGAAGAGUUACAACUUCCAGAUGACAGCUCGCCGCUCAUCCUUCUGGGCAACUUGAACAUCCGACAGAACUUAUGUGACCCUACUGCGUUUAUUUUCUCCUUUAGCUCUCAUUUAAGUAUUAAAAUUCGCUGUAUUUUUGCAAGAGAGGCACCAAUCCUAUUUGAGUGACGUUUCGAUUGUGAAAUUGUAUUGGACCAUAUAGGUCAUCUGCAGAGCGUUGGCCCCUGGCGCAGUAAACCAGGGUUUGAUUCUUGGCAUGCACAAGACUCCUCAUGUGACUUAAAAUGAAUCCAGAAUGCAAUAUUUGUUCAGUAUGCAAGGGCAGUGAUUUAUUUAGUCAUGUUUGGUCAUGUUUUGGUUUUUUUACAUGACAAUAUGGUUUGGUACAUGCUGAGUUAAUGAAUAUACAUUCUAAAGUGCAAUGUCCAUAUGUGAAUAAGAGUUGUAUACGUUUAUCAUAGUCAACAUGGUGUGGAAAUAUCCCUUAUGUAGUUGGUCAAUGGGAACUAUAGUAGGCCGUAAUAACAGCUAAGGUAAUUACAGGUGGAUAUUUCUGUGAAUUAACCUUAAAUGAGACUGCAUCUAUGAUAUCUAAGAUAUACAGGACAAGAAAAAUGCACUGGAUGUGUAUAUGUGUUGAAUCAAUUAUACAGACGCAAACUGGAGAACGAGACAA